CCCGCAUUGUGGAAACGCUUUUAUGCGGCUUCACCCCAACGCAAAGCUACACGGAGGAGAGGCGCGUCAAGUCACACAGAAAAAGCCGCGGACAUACCGGAAAUACUGCAGCUUUCCUUCAAAAUAAGAAGCGACUAACAGGAGGAAGCCGGAAUACCUGGAGAAAACCCACACAUGCACAGGGAGAACAUGCAAACUCCAUGCAUAAAGAUCCCAGGAAGGCCGGGACACGAACCAGGGAUCUUCUAGCUGCAAGACAACAGUGCUAACCACCAAACCGCUGUGCAACCCUACCUGAUUUUGUAUUUGUCACUUUUAAUCAACCAACAUUAUAGUUCCUGACCCAUUGAAGCACUUAUUUUUUUGUUUUUCAACCCUGAAAUUGAAAUCUAGUUCCAGUUUCGAGAAAUGAGGGGAGGCAGAAAUGGAAAAAAGAUCCAUCUUUGGGCAUCAAUUAAGGAUGUUAUGGUUUAUCAUUGACCACUAUUCGGUCCCCGGGAUCUAGUUUUAAUACUUUAAUAAUUCAGUCAAUACAGCUACAUGCCAUUGUACAGCAAAAUUCAUAAUCAAAGGAAUUCAAGGUGCCCACAGUUAAAGGUUACUUCAUCCCUGGUUGAUCCAGCCUUGUGUAAUGCAGUUGAUAUACAGGUAUUAUUUCUUUAAUUUUUAGUAGUUACAGGAGGUUUGUUUCUUUAAAUAUGGCCCAUUUACACAACAACUGCAAGUGUUAGUAUUUUAUACAAGGAUUAUUUGAAAUUUGAUGGAUGGGACGUAAAAUGUCCUCUAAUUCAGGAAUGACCCUUCUAUAUUUUACUCAAAUGUUGUAUGCAUCGUUGUCAAAUAGUUUACUGGAGUUUCAGGCCAGCCAUGCUUUUACUUCGAAAACCUUCCCGGAUGUUUUAAAGUAUAAUCCGUGUCGCUUGGUACUUGGACAGAUGCGUAGGGGAUCUCCUGUCAAAGACAAACAAGAACCUGUCGAGUAGCCAAGUUUUACUUGGUACGACAACCGUUUUAUUUCUUCUUCCGAACCGACUGUCUGUCCAGAGGGACUGUCUGCGCUGCGCUUUCUGUGUGCGCCAUUUACGCACACGCCCCCAUGUUAUGUUAUUGGCGUAGCGUUGCACUUCUGACGCUCCUGUGCGCUCUGGAAUCGAUAGAGAUUAUUUUUGAGCCCAGAUGCUGACAGACGAGGGGAAGGAGAGAGAUAAUAAAGCACUUAUUAUUGUAUUUUUAAAAAAAAACAUAUAGAGAGUCAGAGUUUGUUUCUUAAACUCCAGCUUCUUACAGAAUUAAUUUUGCCACAGAACUGCAGUUAAUGGCACCAUUUCACAUAUAAACCUCUUUGUUUUGAGAUCA